rnacentral:rRNA from 1 species
AUUGGGUAGGGGAGCGUUCUGUAAGCCGUUGAAGGUGAAUCGUAAGGUUUGCUGGAGGUAUCAGAAGUGCGAAUGCUGACAUGAGUAACGACAAGGGGGGUGAAAAACCUCCCCGCCGGAAGACCAAGGGUUCCUGUCCAACGUUAAUCGGGGCAGGGUGAGUCGACCCCUAAGGCGAGGCUGAAAAGCGUAGUCGAUGGGAAACGGGUUAAUAUUCCCGUACUCAAUCAAAUUGCGAUGGGGGGACGGAGAAGGCUAGGUGGGCCAGGCGACGGUUGUCCUGGUUCAAGUGCGUAGGCUUAAGAGUUAGGUAAAUCCGGCUCUUUCUAAGGCUGAGACACGACGUCGAGCUACUACGGUAGUGAAGUCAUUGAUGCCAUGCUUCCAGGAAAAGCCUCUAAGCUUCAGAUUUGA